GACGAACGCUGGCGGCGCGCUUAACACAUGCAAGUCGAGCGAGAACCAGGCCUUCGGGCCUGGGGACAGCGGCGAACGGGUGAGUAACACGUUGGUAAUCAACCCUCGGUACUGGGAUAGCCCGGGGAAACCCGGAUUAAUACCGGAUGGCCCUUUGAAUCCUCGGAUUUGAAGGAAAAGGUAGCUUCGGCCUCCGACCGAGGACGAGCCCGCGGCGGAUUAGCUUGUUGGUGGGGUAACGGCCUACCAAGGCGGCGAUCCGUAGCUGGUCUGAGAGGACGAUCAGCCACACUGGGACUGAGACACGGCCCAGACUCCUACGGGAGGCAGCAGUGGGGAAUCUUGCGCUAAUGCGGGAAACCGUGACGCAGCGACGCCGCGUGAGGGAAGAAGGCCUUCGGGUUGUAAACCUCUUUCAGGGGGGACGAAGCUACUCGGGUUAAUAGCCCAGAGGGUGACGGUACCUCCAGAAGAAGCCCCGGCUAACUACGUGCCAGCAGCCGCGGUAAUACGUAGGGGGCAAGCGUUGUCCGGAUUUAUUGGGCGUAAAGAGCGUGUAGGCGGCUUUGCAAGUCCGUUGUGAAAACUCGAGGCUCAACCUCGAGACGCCGGUGGAAACUGCAAAGCUAGAGUCCGGAAGAGGAGAGUGGAAUUCCUGGUGUAGCGGUGAAAUGCGCAGAUAUCAGGAAGAACACCCGUGGCGAAGGCGGCUCUCUGGGACGGUACUGACGCUGAGACGCGAAAGCGUGGGGAGCGAACAGGAUUAGAUACCCUGGUAGUCCACGCCGUAAACGAUGGGUGCUAGGUGUGGGCGGUGUCGACUCCGUCCGUGCCGAAGCUAACGCAUUAAGCACCCCGCCUGGGGAGUACGGCCGCAAGGCUA
rnacentral:rRNA from 1 species